rnacentral:rRNA from 1 species
GGACUACACGGGUUUCUAAUCCUGUUUGAUCCCCUUACUUUCGCGCCUCAGCGUCAGGUCUAAAUUAGAAAACCGCCUUCGCCACCGGUGUUCUUCCACAUAUCUACGCAUUUCACCGCUACUUGUGGAAUUCCGUUUUCUCCAUCUAGCCUCAAGAAAAAUAGUUUCAAAUGCUGUUCCGAGGUUGAGCCCCGGGAUUUCACAUCUGACUUAUCUCCCCGCCUACGCGCCCUUUACGCCCAAUAAAUCCGAUUAAUGCUUGCACCCUCCGUAUUACCGCGGCUGCUGGCAC